rnacentral:rRNA from 1 species
CCUUAAUGCGGGCGAGAAACCCGCACACCGAAAAACUAAGGUUUCCACAGCUAUGCUAAUCAGCUGUGGGUUAGUCUGGUCCUAAGGCGAACCCGAAAGGGACAGUCGAAGGCUAACGGGUUAAUAUUCCCGUACUACUAAUUACUGUGAUGGGGUGACGGAGUGAUGAAAGCGCCGCGAACUGACGGAAUAGUUCGUUGAAGUACCUAGCUAUAUUCUCUAUAGGCAAAUCCGUAGAGAAUGGCGAAAUACGAUAGUACUCGGAGUCUUCGGACAAAGAGAUAGUGCGCCUAAGGGCUUCCAAGAAAAACCUCUAAACUUCAGGUAAUUAGUACCAGUACCGUAAACCGACACAGGUAGUUGAGGAGAGAAUCCUAAGGUGCUCGAGAGAUUCAUGGCUAAGGAAUUAGGCAAAAUAGACCCGUAACUUCGGGAGAAGGGUCGCCCCGAGUAAUCGGGGCCGCAGUGAAGAGGUCCAGGCGACUGUUUAUCAAAAACACAGGGCUCUGCAAAAUCGUAAGAUGAAGUAUAGGGCCUGACACCUGCCCGGUGCUGGAAGGUUAAGAGGAGAUGUUAUCUUCGGAGAAGCAUUGAAUUGAAGCCCCAGUAAACGGCGGCCGUAACAAUAACGGUCCUAAGGUAGCGAAAUUCCUUGUCGGGUAAGUUCCGACCUGCACGAAUGGUGUAACGAUCUGGACACUGUCUCAGCCAUGAGCUCGGUGAAAUUGUAGUAACGGUGAAGAUGCCGUUUACCCGCAGUGGGACGAAAAGACCCUGUGCACCUUUACUAUAGCUUAGUAUUGACCUUGGAUAAAUGAUGUGUAGGAUAGGUUGGAGACUGUGAAGUGGCGUCGCCAGGCGUUGUGGAGUCAUUGUUGAAAUACAACCCUUUGUUUAUCUGAGGCCUAACCCCGUUUUGCGGGGGACAUUGCUUGGUGGGUAGUUUGACUGGGGUGGUCGCCUCCAAAAGAGUAACGGAGGCUUCUAAAGGUUCCCUCAGUACGCUUGGUAACCGUGCGUAGAGUGCAAUGGCAUAAGGGAGCUUGACUGAGAGACAUACAGGUCGAUCAGGUACGAAAGUAGAGCAUAGUGAUCCGGUGGUUCCGCAUGGAAGGGCCAUCGCUCAAAGGAUAAAAGGUACGCCGGGGAUAACAGGCUGAUCUCCCCCAAGAGCUCAUAUCGACGGGGGGGUUUGGCACCUCGAUGUCGGCUCGUCACAUCCUGGGGCCAA